CCCUGGGGCGGCGGGGUCCUGUGGCUGCGCUCGCCCCGCCCCCUUGCUCCGUAGGGGGCCCUUCCCGGGCCUCCGCUCCCCGCUCCCCUGCAAUCGUAGAGGAAGGGGAGACGGGGCGGGGGUGCGGACAGAAAGUCAGCCAGCCUGACAUUUUUAACAGACCCCCCCCCCCCCGCCCCUCCGAUUGCGCUUACAAGCCUCGUCUUCCUGUGCUGACCGCAUGGGUGGGGGUCACCACUGGGAGGACCGGGGAAUGCAUAUCGUCACAGGCCACACCGAGGUCCGCGCCCCCCCAGGGAGGAGACUUGUGUGACUGCCUCACCAGAGGGAAAAAGCUGCUCCCUGGGAGGUGCAGGAACAUCAGGAUAUAUUGGGGACCUCGAGAAGAGGAAUCCACCCACAUCAGCAUCUACAGUCUCUCCACUUGGUGCUGAGACUCCUUGGCUGCCAUAACUUCAAGCCAACAGAUGAUCCCUUCCACUCGGGAAGAUCCACACAUGUGGUCUCCUUUGGAUUCAGCUGCCUCUGCUUUCAUAACUCCUAAUCUAUAUAAGCCCCAACUGGCUCAUGUUGACCCAUAGGCAGGGACAUCUCUAUGCCCCUAUUCAGCAGGAAGAAGUUACAGAAGAUGAGACCUUCCACCCUCAGCAACUUUCAAGAUUUAAGGGUCAAAAUUGGUCAGGGGGGAAAGACGUGGGAAACAAAGACAGAAGAAAAAUUAUGCAAUCUCUUUACUACCUACAGCCUAUUGACAAGUCCUUGAAACAGGCAGAGUGACAUUUCUCUAGCGAUUCAACUGUCUCCAUGUUAAUACUUUGCUAAGGGCAAAAGGCAAUCUUAGCCCAAUCCCCAGGACUCUGUGAGU